GACGAACGCUGGCGGCGUGCUUAACACAUGCAAGUCGAGCGACGCUCUUCCUUCGGGGUGAUGACGGAGCGGCGAACGGGUGAGUAACACGUGGGCAACCCGCCCCCAGCUCUGGGACAACACCGGGAAACCGGUGCUAAUACCGGAUACGACAUCGAGCGGCACCUCUCGAUGUGGGAAGUUUUUUCGGCUAGGGAUGGGCGCGCGGCCUUUCAGCUGGUUGGUGGGGUAAUGGCCCACCAAGGCGACGACGGGUAGCCGGCCAGGGAGGGCGACCGGCCACACGGUGAGAGAGGCACGACACAGACUCCGGCGGGAGGAGGCAGUGAGAUAGAGUGCGCGGGGGGCGAAAGCCGGAGGCAGCGACGCCGCGUGAUGGAUGACUUCCUUCGGGAUAUAAACCUCUUUCGGCAGGGACGAAUUCAGACGGUACCGGCAGAAGAAGCACCGGCUAACUACGUG
rnacentral:rRNA from 1 species